AGAUUACCUUACAAUCAAAUCAGUGAAGGCCUGGCAGUAGUUACUGAAAUAAUUACUAUAUUAUUGAGUUAUAGGUGUAAAUGGGCAACAAUGUAAUCUCUAACCUGGUGUAUUGGAAUUAACUGGUCGAGUGAAUGACACAUUAUAAGUUGUUUCAUCAACCAGUGGUGAAGGAUACAUCCGUCUUCGGAUAAAGAAACCAGCUCCACAGCAAAAUAGAACUCCCAUCAUCAAAAGGAACC